rnacentral:rRNA from 2 species
CCUGAUGCAGCAACGCCGCGUGAGGGACGACGGCCUUCGGGUUGUAAACCUCUUUUAGCAAGGAAGAAGCGAAAGUGACGGUACUUGCAGAAAAAGCGCCGGCUAACUACGUGCCAGCAGCCGCGGUAAUACGUAGGGCGCAAGCGUUAUCCGGAAUUAUUGGGCGUAAAGAGCUCGUAGGCGGUUUGUCGCGUCUGCUGUGAAAACCCGAGGCUCAACCUCGGGCCUGCAGUGGGUACGGGCAGACUAGAGUGCGGUAGGGGAGAUUGGAAUUCCUGGUGUAGCGGUGGAAUGCGCAGAUAUCAGGAGGAACACCGAUGGCGAAGGCAGAUCUCUGGGCCGUAACUGACGCUGAGGAGCGAAAGGGUGGGGAGCAAACAGGCUUAGAUACCCUGGUAGUCCACCCCGUAAACGUUGGGAACUAGUUGUGGGGUCCAUUCCACGGAUUCCGUGACGCAGCUAACGCAUUAAGUUCCCCGCCUGGGGAGUACGGCCGCAAGGCUAAAACUCAAAGGAAUUGACGGGGACCCGCACAAGCGGCGGAGCAUGCGGAUUAAUUCGAUGCAACGCGAAGAACCUUACCAAGGCUUGACAUAUACGAGAACGCUGCAGAAAUGUAGAACUCUUUGGACACUC